UGAACGCUGGCGGCGUGCUUAACNCAUGCAAGUCGAACGAAGCACUUUAACUUGAUUUCUUCGGAUUGAUUGUUCUGUGACUGAGUGGCGGACGGGUGAGUAACGCGUGGGUAACCUGCCUCAUACAGGGGGAUAACAGUUGGAAACGACUGCUAAUACCGCAUAAGCGCACAGGACCGCAUGGUCCGGUGUGAAAAACUCCGGUGGUAUGAGAUGGGUCUGCGUCUGAUUAGCUAGUUGGUGGGGCAACGGCCUACCAAGGCGACGAUCAGUAGCCGGUCUGAGAGGAUGAACGGCCACAUUGGAACUGAGACACGGUCCAGACUCCUACGGGAGGCAGCAGUGGGGAAUCUUCCGCAAUGGGCGAAAGCCUGACGGAGCAACGCCGCGUGAGUGAAGAAGGUCUUCGGAUCGUAAAGCUCUGUUGUCGGGGACGAAUGUUGAGACCAAGAACAUAGGUUUCAAAUGACGGUACCUGACGAGGAAGCCACGGCUAACUACGUG
rnacentral:rRNA from 1 species